UACGAGGGGGGCGAGCGUUGUUCGGGAUUAUUGGGCGUAAAGGGUGCGUAGGCGGUUUGGUAAGUCUUAUGUGAAAUCUACAGGCUCAACUUGUAGUCUGCAUGAGAAACUGCCGGGCUUGAGUGUGGGAGAGGUGAGUGGAAUUCCUGGUGUAGCGGUGAAAUGCGUAGAUAUCAGGAGGAACACCUGUGGCGAAAGCGGCUCACUGGACCAUAACUGACGCUGAUGCACGAAAGCUAGGGGAGCAAACAGG
rnacentral:rRNA from 1 species